ensembl:lncRNA
UCCCACAGAAACGUCCACGCUGAAUUUUUCACUGUAAUAUCAGCCUCCUGUUUAUUACUGUGACAUGAAGUGCAGUUGCCUGAUGACCCACCUGGGACACUCUGUCUGUGAGUCUGGUGGGCGGUUAUUAGAGAAAGUACAAGUAGUCCCUGACUCUGUCUAGUUUCAUUUAUAGCAUGGUCUGUCGGCUUAAAGAGAACACGUGAUCCCCCCACAGUGGCUCUGCCUGCCGGGUUCGGUCAGGGACCCUGCUGCCCACCAGAUGCCCACGUUAGGACCCAGGAUUCUGCCCCCACUCAUGGGCCCCCCUCCCCCACUCUGCACACCAGUUGAGCUGUAGCCUAGGCCUCCUCCCACCCCUAUCUCUGUGUGGUUGCUGCAAAGACCAGAGAUUCUCCUGUGGUGAUAUUUACAGCUUUAAAUACUUCACGUGACAGUGAGGCUUGUGGCUUGUACGGGACACCUAAGCUCUUCUUGUAUCUGUCCGUGCUGUCUUCCUUUGUUGCAACUUGGCUCUGACCUGGCAUUGAAACAUGGAUUAGUCUUUUGUACUGUUUGCAGGUUGUAUAACAACAGUACAGUGUGAAUAGAAUAAAAUAAAUGCUUGCAAGCUAAAAAGAAGAAGAAAGAAAGAACCUCAUGCCCAGCCCCCCCAGGGCAGGCAGGAAGAAAUCCUCCGCCCAGAAGCACCUUUUCAAGCCCCAGAACUCCCUGUGAUUGGACCAGCUGGGGUCACGUGCCCAUCUCUGACCCAAUCAGUCGUGUGGCCAGGGGCAGUCAGUAUAUUGACUGGCAGAGAGUAGGGUGGGUCCCCAGGUGGGUCCCCCUCAAAGCAAGAGGAUGGACGAUUGGGGAGCUAUGGUUUCCUAAAAACAAAUUACGGGGCUAGUUCCAAAAAAGGGGUUGAAUGGGUCAACCAGAACUCCCUCAAAAGUCAGCUAUCCCCGUCCUUUCCUAUUGAUGCUAAUUUCCAGCCACAUGGCUGGUGUAGUGGAGAGAACACGGCUAGUCUGAGACAGACCUGACUGCUAGUUCUGGUUUCUCUCCUCUACUGUCUGUGGGUCUCUGGGCUACAACUCCCCGAGCCUAAGAUCCCUCCUUUAUAAAAAAUGUCGGUGAGAAUACACAGCAAGCUGUGAGGAUUAAAUGCAGGGAAAGUGCCUGAAAUGCAGUAAGUGCUCAAUCAAUGCUAAUUAGCAGCUACACAAACAGUGUCUUGCACCCACACAAUUACACAGCGUUUGAAAAUGCUGAUUCACUUUUCUGGAAUGCACUUCUCUCUGUUAUCAGCACAUCCUCCCAAACCCCAUUCUUCCACACCCCACCCACCCUGGGUGCCUCCUCUGUGCGCUGUUAUAGCAGAGUGGUUAAAAACGUGCCAUUUGGACCGGGCACAGUGGCUCACGCCUGUAAUCCCAGCGCUUUGGGAGGCCAAGGUGGGUGGAUCACCUGAGGUCAGGAGUUUGAGACCAGCCUGGCCAACAUGGCAAAACCCUGUCUCUACUAAAAAUACAAAAAACUAGCUAGGGGUGGUGGUGGGCACCUAUAAUCCCAGCUACUUGGGAGGCUGAGGAAAGAGAAUUGCUUGAACCCGGGGAGGCAGAGGUUACACCACUGUACUCCAGCCUGGGCGAAAGAGUGAGACUGCCUCAAAACAACAAAACAAAACAAAACAAAACAAAAAAA